rnacentral:rRNA from 1 species
AUUGAACGCUGGCGGCAGGCCUAACACAUGCAAGUCGAGCGGAUGAAGGGAGCUUGCUCCUGGAUUCAGCGGCGGACGGGUGAGUAAUGCCUGGGAAUCUGCCUGGUAGUGGGGGAUAACGUCCGGAAACGGGCGCUAAUACCGCAUACGUCCUGAGGGAGAAAGUGGGGGAUCUUCGGACCUCACGCUAUCAGAUGAGCCUAGGUCGGAUUAGCUAGUUGGUGGGGUAAAGGCCUACCAAGGCGACGAUCCGUAACUGGUCUGAGAGGAUGAUCAGUCACACUGGAACUGAGAAACGGUCCAGACUCCUACGGGAGGCAGCAGUGGGGAAUAUUGGACGAUGGGCGAAAGCCUGAUCCAGCCAUGCCGCGUGUGUGAAGAAGGUCUUCGGAUUGUAAAGCACUUUAAGUUGGGGGGAAGGGCAGUAAGUUAAUACCUUGCUGUUUUGACGUUACCAACAGAAUAAGCACCGGCUAACUUCGUG